AGUGGCGAACGGGUGAGUAACACGUGAGUAACCUGCCCUUGACUCUGGGAUAAGCCUGGGAAACUGGGUCUAAUACCGGAUAUGACCUUCCAUCGCAUGGUGGUUGGUGGAAAGCUUUUGUGGUUUUGGAUGGACUCGCGGCCUAUCAGCUUGUUGGUGGGGUAAUGGCCUACCAAGGCGACGACGGGUAGCCGGCCUGAGAGGGUGACCGGCCACACUGGGACUGAGACACGGCCCAGACUCCUACGGGAGGCAGCAGUGGGGAAUAUUGCACAAUGGGCGCAAGCCUGAUGCAGCNACGCCGCGUGAGGGAUGACGGCCUUCGGGUUGUAAACCUCUUUCAGUAGGGAAGAAGCGAGUGACGGUACCUGCAGAAGAAGCGCCGGCUAACUACGUGCCAGCAGCCGCGGUAAUACGUAGGGCGCAAGCGUUAUCCGGAAUUAUUGGGCGUAAAGAGCUCGUAGGCGGUUUGUCGCGUCUGCCGUGAAAGUCCGGGGCUCAACUCCGGAUCUGCGGUGGGUACGGGCAGACUAGAGUGAUGUAGGGGAGACUGGAAUUCCUGGUGUAGCGGUGAAAUGCGCAGAUAUCAGGAGGAACACCGAUGGCGAAGGCAGGUCUCUGGGCAUUAACUGACGCUGAGGAGCGAAAGCAUGGGGAGCGAACAGGAUUAGAUACCCUGGUAGUCCAUGCCGUAAACGUUGGGCACUAGGUGUGGGGGACAUUCCACGUUUUCCGCGCCGUAGCUAACGCAUUAAGUGCCCCGCCUGGGGAGUACGGCCGCAAGGCUAAAACUCNNAGGAAUUGACGGGGGCCCGCACAAGCGGCGGAGCAUGCGGAUUAAUUCGAUGCAACGCGAAGAACCUUACCAAGGCUUGACA
rnacentral:sRNA from 1 species